UGCAAGUCGAACGAAGUAGCAAUACUUAGUGGCAGACGGGUGAGUAACAUGUAGGUAUCUGCCCUUUGGCCUGGAAUAACACGAGGAAACUUGUGCUAAUACCGGAUAAGUCUUUACGGAGAAAGCUUUAUGCACCAUUGGAUGAGCCUGCACUUGAUUAGUUUGUUGGUGGGGUAAUGGCCUACCAAGACUGUGAUCAAUAGCUGAUUUGAGAGGAUGAUCAGCCACAUUGGGACUGAGACACGGCCCAAACUCCUACGGGAGGCAGCAGUGGGGAAUCUUGCACAAUGGAGGAAACUCUGAUGCAGCGAUGCCGCGUGAGUGAAGAAGGCCCUUGGGUUGUAAAGCUCUUUCGUCGGGGAAGAAAAUGACUGUACCCGAAUAAGAAGGUCCGGCUAACUUCGUGCCAGCAGCCGCGGUAAUACGAAGGGACCUAGCGUAGUUCGGAAUUACUGGGCUUAAAGAGUUCGUAGGUGGUUGAAAAAGUUAGUGGUGAAAUCCCAGAGCUUAACUCUGGAACUGCCAUUAAAACUUUUCAGCUAGAGUAUGAUAGAGGAAAGCAGAACUUCUAGUGUAGAGGUGAAAUUCGUAGAUAUUAGAAAGAAUACCAAUUGCGAAGGCAGCUUUCUGGAUCAUUACUGACACUGAGGAACGAAAGCAUGGGUAGCGAAGAGGAUUAGAUACCCUCGUAGUCCAUGCCGUAAACGAUGUGUGUUAGACGUUGGAAAUUUAUUUUCAGUGUCGCAGGGAAACCGAUAAACACACCGCCUGGGGAGUACGACCGCAAGGUUAAAACUCAAAUGAAUUGACGGGGACCCGCACAAGUAGUGGAGCAUG
rnacentral:rRNA from 1 species